CAAUGAAUGAGCAAAAUGGGUCUGAUACAAGAUAAUAGUCAUUUCGACCAGCACUUUUCUCCUUUGGUGUAAGCUACCUUUAGCUCAAACUCAAGAGUGAGGGGGCAUUUGAUAUGGGACAAUAGUUUAUCUUGGUUAGAUUUGAUGUUCGAUGUUCACUUUAUCUCGAUAAGGAGUUGACUUACCUGCCUCGGUAUCUACAGAUCUGAGAUACCAGACCAAGAUUCCAUGGUUGUUAUGCAUCGGAUGGUUACU
rnacentral:lncRNA from 1 species